UUUGGAGAGUUAUUUAGAAGCAGUGAAUCAACUGAAAAAAAUUGUUCGGUUUUUCAGCACUAAUAAAAACCUUAAGAGCAGCAUUGGAGUGAUUACUCAUUCUACAACUUUGCUUCAAAAGGCUUCGUUAAUGCUCGAGGAAGAGUUCAGGCAGCUAUUACAUGCUUGCAGUAAACCAGUGGAACCCGAUCGCCUUUUGGACUGCCUGCCUGCUUCCCUUAGACCGUCAACACUUAUAGUUGAUAUUUGGUGAUAUUAACUGAAGUUGAGAACUUAGUUGAGAACUUACUUCAGAAAGCUCUGCUAUGUGGUGGUGAUAUUAAAUAGUUAAUAUUUCCUCCAAAAUAUCACCAGUUUCCUCCAAAAUUGAGAACUUCAGUGCAUUCGCUUCAUAUACUUCAGAAAGCUAUUCAAAGAGCUGCAUAAAUUUACUUGUUCAAAGAGUGAUCUAUUUAUGUUUCAUCAUAGCAUUCAGAAAAGUUAAAGAGAUGUCUGGAUUUUCAACAGAUCAGGUGUUCAAGUCUCGUGAAGAGUUGAUGGAAUGGGUUAGAAACACCGGAUGUAGUCUUGGUUACGCUAUUGUGACUAAAAGAUCGAAAGCUAAAAAUGGCUACGUGUCUAAAGUUGUACUUAUGUAUGAUCGUGGUGGUGUGUAUAAAUCAGAUAAAGAUUCAAGUAGAGAGACCGGCACUAGAAAGAUAAAUUGCCCGUUUGAAAUGGUUUGAAAUGUGUGAUCGUGGUGGUGUGUAUUAAAAACAUCACAUCCAUCAAUCAUUUGGUUUUUGUUUUUA